AUUGAACGCUGGCGGCGUGCUUAACACAUGCAAGUCGAUCGGUAACAGGUGUAGCAAUACAUGCUGACGAGAGGCGGACGGGUGAGUAAUGCUUGGGAAUCUGCCUAUUAGUGGGGGACAACCCGGGGAAACUCGGGCUAAUACCGCAUACGCUCUACGGAGGAAAGCCGGGGACCGCAAGGCCUGGCGCUAAUAGAUGAGCCCAAGUCGGAUUAGCUAGUUGGUAGGGUAACGGCCUACCAAGGCGACAAUCCGUAGCUGGUCUGAGAGGACGACCAGCCACACCGGAACUGAGACACGGUCCGGACUCCUACGGGAGGCAGCAGUGGGGAAUAUUGGACAAUGGGGGCAACCCUGAUCCAGCGACGCCGCGUGGGUGAAGAAGGCCUGCGGGUUGUAAAGCCCUUUCGGUGGGAAGAAAAGUCUC
rnacentral:rRNA from 1 species